ensembl:processed_transcript
AAUCCUUGGAGAGCUGUGAUUACUAGUCACAGGUUCAGAAGCCCAGUCUAGGGGCAUUAAGUGACUUGUCAACAGCCAACCAGCUGGCACUAUGGGUCUGAAUACUACCGAGCUGUGCUAUUUUGAUCAGCAACCUGAUGGCCAUUAUCUGAAAGGUGGAAGAAAAAACUAGAAACCUUAACUAUCCAAAUAUGGCUAUCAAAAUUAGAGGUCGGGAGCAACGGAUUCAGGGGAGCAUAGUGUUCAAAGAGUCUCCACACCGUGUCAGUUUUUCAACAGACAGACAUCUGGUUAGUGCUUAAGGCCAAGUGUGAUUAUGGAUAUUGCUGUUAAAGCCACAAGCAAACACGAACAAUAAGGAAGUAAUUGGGAGGCUAAGAGUGAGGCUCUUUAUCCAGGCUGUAUACGCAGGUCACGCUAGAAACAAAAGUCAAUGCAUCAGCAGCCAACCGAACAACAACAACAAAGCCAGCCCCAGCACACACGAACAUAAACCGCCACAGCCAAGCAGGCAAAGUCACAGAGGUCAGCAGGCAGCCUCACAAAACUGGAACCAUCCUGCUCUGCGCUGUACAGGUUACUGAAGCAUGAAUGAACACGAACUAUCAAACGGUGCUGGGAGGAGGGGAGAGAGGGGACACUUACAUAUGAGAGAAGAAUUUUAAAAAGAAACAGAAGAAAAGAAAAACAUAAGCCAAGCAGUACCUCGGAAAGGCUUGGGCAGAUUCGGUGUUUUUCCAAUAAGGGAGUGAGGGCUCAGCGUGGUUAAGGGGAUUGAUUGCCCAGAGCUCCGGUUCAGAGCCAGGGGAAUCCGAGGCUAUCACCCAGGCUUUCCAGCUCUACUCCUCCUCAGUGUCCACUCUGGCAUAGCACUUUGCUAUCUAGAAAGUGAAUUCAAGCCGUGGACUCCUUUGAUCUACAUGACAACUCUGCUUUCUCUGACAACCCGGGAGACUGAUGCGAUGAGCAAAUGUUAAUCACUUUUCCAAGGUCACCCAGUAAGUAUCAGAGCCUGAAUCUCAGUCUUCUAAGUCAAGUUUGCUUUCCAAGUAACCACAGCUGCUAACAGAAAAAGAACGAGAGAAGGAGCUGAGCCUACUUAUAUAAACACAGCUCUUGCUGGAAGCAGCCUUCAGCAUAACCAAUAUCGACUUUUAAAACAUGUAAAGAGAUUCCGGCCAAUAGAAUAACACCACUCCAACCGAGAUGUACGUCCUACUUCCCAGAACCUUCUUAGGUAAUACAGAACAUCACAAGCCAUAAAAGACUUGGCAGGUGUGAUCAGUCACAUCAUCCGCCAACGACUGGGUGUGUCCAAGAGGAGCCAGGACGAGCAUCAGUAGAGGGAGGCAGCACUGGAUCCUGUGAACACCGCUGGCCUUAGCUGAAGGAAGAAGCCAGAAGCUCCAGGUUCCCCACUAUUGGCUCCGAGAGAAAUGCAGGGUAGCCUUGCAGAUAUCUAACUUCUAGGGCUGGCUGUAAUAACCCUGUAUUGCUGAAAGACCUCUAGGGAUGAAGGAAAAGCUCAGUGGUCAUGUUUUCCACACACAGGUCCUGAGUUCAAUCUCCAGCAAUAAAAAAGAAAGAAACCAGGGUUGAGAUAGCUUUGACAUCAGCAAUAGGGAGCUAAGAUUGGCUUGAAUACAAUCCAGAAGUAACAGACCAUAUUAGCCUGCUAUGUGGAUAGUCUCCACAUUCAUCUAUACAGUUUAACUGCACAGUUAUGUAUAUACCACAUGCAUGCCUCAUACCCACAGAGGUCAUAAGAAGGCAUCAGAGCCGGGCAGUGGUGGCACACACCUUUAAUCCCAACACUUGGGAGGCAGAGGCAGGCGGAUUUCUGGGUUCAAGGCCAGCCUGGUUUACAGAGUGAGUUCCAGAACAGCAAGGGUUACACAGAGAAAUCCUGGCUUGGGGGAGAAAAAAAAAAAGAAGAAGAAGGCAUCAGAUCCCCUGGAACUGCAGUUACAGAUGGUUGUUGACUACCAUGUGGGUGCUAACAAACCAAACCCAAGACCUCCCAAAAUAACAAGAGCUUUUAAGUGAUGAGCCAUCUCUUCAGCAUCUCCCCUCCCCCAAAAAAAAUAUGCCAACAUAUAUGUAUAUAGGAGUCUGUAUGCUUUAUUCCAACGAUGUGAAUAUAAAAUCUGAAUAACGCUUAUCUUCCUUAGAUCCACUUUUCUUUUAUUGCCACCACCUUGAUUGACAUUAAAAUUUGUUCAAAAAACAAAAUUAUCCUGUUAUCAGUAUACAAUAUAAAUUCCCAGUACCUUUUAAAU